rnacentral:rRNA from 1 species
GUGGGGAAUUUUGGACAAUGGGCGCAAGCCUGAUCCAGCCAUUCCGCGUGAGUGAAGAAGGCCUUCGGGUUGUAAAGCUCUUUCGCAAGGGAAGAAACGUUACCGGUGAAUAUCCGGUGAUAAUGACGGUACCUUGAUAAGAAGCACCGGCUAACUACGUGCCAGCAGCCGCGGUAAUACGUAGGGUGCGAGCGUUAAUCGGAAUUACUGGGCGUAAAGCGUGCGCAGGCGGUUUUGUAAGUCAGAUGUGAAAUCCCCGAGCUCAACUUGGGAACUGCGUUUGAAACUACAAGACUAGAAUAGGUCAGAGGGGGGUAGAAUUCCACGUGUAGCAGUGAAAUGCGUAGAGAUGUGGAGGAAUAUCAAUGGCGAAGGCAGCCCCCUGGGAUCAUAUUGACGCUCAUGCACGAAAGCGUGGGGAGCAAACAGGAUUAGAAACCCCAGUAGUCC